rnacentral:pre_miRNA from 1 species
AAACAUCUGUGUGUGGAUAAUGUUCAACAUUAGGAACAGGUUUGUUUGCCUGUGUGUGGAUGGUGUUUGGCACGAAGAACAGGAAUGUUUGUGU